rnacentral:sRNA from 1 species
AACAACGACAGAAGAAACAUGAAAAUCAAGAACAAAACACCCC